rnacentral:lncRNA from 1 species
CCCCGCCAUAGUCUGCAUGUAUGUGACUGUUCCAAGUCAGAAGCCUGUUAUUCAGUGAUUUUCUUUUGUUGAUGUGUUACAUAAAUUAUUUGUUUUUCUUUCAUUUUUUUAACAUAAAUUAAGCCGUUAAUAUUGGGGGGGGGGGGCAUUAUUAUUUCAUUUAUUUUACAUUUGUCAUUCGGGGAGUCAGGAUGACUCGUUUUACAUAACAAAAUUAU